AUGUGCUCCGUCUCACAUCUCUACUGCUACUUCUUCUUCUUCGAACACCGCCUUCGAUUCAACACUUCUGAUACAUCUUCGUCUCCAAUCGCGAACCUCGCUUCAAUCACAUUGCACCUUCAAUCUGAGAAGAAGAGAAAACCAGAGUUGUUGCAUUGGAGAAGGUUGAUGAAGGUUAGGAGCGAAGAUGAUGAAUGCUAG